CAGUAGCCGCGGUAAAACGGAGGAUCCGAGCGUUAUCCGGAUUUAUUGGGUUUAAAGGGUGCGUAGGCGGCCUAUUAAGUCAGGGGUGAAAGACGGUAGCUUAACUAUCGCAGUGCCUUUGAUACUGAUGGGCUUGAAUGUACUUGAAGUGGGCGGAAUGUGACAAGUAGCGGUGAAAUGCAUAGAUAUGUCACAGAACACCGAUUGCGAAGGCAGCUCACUAAAGUAUGAUUGACGCUGAGGCACGAAAGCGUGGGGAUCAAACAGGAUUAGAUACCCGUGUAGUCCCUGUCUCUUAUAC
rnacentral:rRNA from 1 species